CCAACCAUUCCAAGAUGCCCGCCAUUGCGUCUGUCCACUCCUUCGCUAGCCCCGGAUCAUAAACCGCGGAAGAGCUCAAGUUUUUCGAGUAGGGCUUUAGCUCCUCUCUCAGCGAUUUUCUCACGCUCGCAGGUAACAUGUUGUAUAGGUCGUCUCUCGCGUCGUCGCCUAUCAGAUGAGGAGAUGCAACAAACCUCUCUAUCACGAUGAUGACAUUAGCGUAGUGUAACGCUAAGCAAGCGGCGCCGAGGGUGUUAGGAGCAGCAUCUGACAACUUGGGUCUUUCAACGUGGACAGUGUUGGAACUUCCUUGAUGAUGCUCGGCGCUACUAUGCCUAGCUCCGUUCUGGGUCCUAGUGCUGAGAGGAGUGAUACCGUCUUGAGAUACCAUGCAUCCUUUAAAGGGACCAACCUGUGUUAAACGGUUGGGUUUUGACUGCUUUUUCAAUUUCGCACGCUGCCUUUAGCUGAACCACCUAAAUGUUAUUCCCUUGAAGUUACUUACCAAGAAUGAUGACGUCCCAUCGGAUGAUGUUGUACCGUGCAUAUCUAAAUAAUCCCUAAGGCGGGAAAAGCUCUCUCUCAUUGCAUGUAUGUUGUCUAUCCCAAAAAACACAAUCUGAAGAGAAACAGUGUCAGUAAGAACAAGCAGUUCAAGACGACAAAAAUAUUGAGCUUCAAACCAGGUCAUACUUCAGACUGCAAAUAAUUUGAAGAUGAUUCUGAGCCUCCUCCCAUUGCUCCAUUUGCUAACGCAUUUUUCCUAGGUCUUGCAUCUGCGAUGUAAAGCUUCCUAUGACAUAAAAAAACGAGAGUAAGUGCAUCUUUUAUAACAAAAUAGCAACAUUCAACCAUAUUGAAGAUAUGAACCAACAGAAUGUUAUUUUAUUCUACCCAAAUAGACCUUUCUAUAUAUUUCAGAAAUAAUCCCACGCCCAACUGGGCCAACAAUGAGUGGUUUAUCUCCAAGUUAUAUUCAUAUGCAAACGCAAAACCGUACACAAGAAAUGCACGCACAAGGAAGUGUCAUGGGCUUAAAGAUGAUAUAAAGGAGAUCAAUAGUAAAUCCACAUGUUAACUUUAACCAAAUGAGAACGAACAUAGGAAGCUCACCGUGGUGCUCCCUUGUGACCAGCUAACUGAGUGCAGAAUGAAGCAACAAGUUUUUCAUCAAAGUUACUGUUGAAAAAGAGCAAAAUAUUAGAAAACUUCAGAAUCUAUUACUUUGAGAUUCAAAAUAAGAAACUCAAUUAUCAUCACAAUUCUGGCAUGAAACUGAAACUUCUAUGUACCUCCUCAUGUUCAUCAUCAGACCAACUAAAGGUUGUGAAGAGCGAGCAAUCACAGCUCCAGUUCCUGCAAUUAAAGAUCAAAAAGAAACAUGUGUAAAUGCGGAAGCUAUACGAACAAAAUUCAAAUGGAAGCAACAAAACAGCUGCAUUUCUACCUGGAUGGCACCACGAGAUCACGGGCAGGCGACUUUUUGCCCGGAAAGUAGACGCUUGGGUCAGCUCUUCAUCACUGACAUAAAACAUACGGUAAUUUUAGUUCAAGACUAUACUUUCGAGGAAGAUAGUUUAAACAAAAAUAAACAGAAGCUCUAAAGGCUGGUAGAGACCAAAUUAAACUGUUUUCAUUCAUGUUCAAAGAAUCAAUGUCCUACCUAAUGGAUUUUGGAACCAUCAAAGCAAACGGAUAAGUCGGACACAAGUUAUAAUUCGAGUUCAAGUCAGUUAUCCGCCAAAAGUCAUUGGAAACUGAGAAUGAACCGUCUUUAAUCAUAUUCAUUGACGCUCGCAAUGAACCUUUUCCGAGAAGUCGAAAAUAUUCGUUAAGCAAUCUUUCCUUUGGGUUUUUGUUGCCGAAUUUGGAAGGCCCACAUGUAAAAGCAUAAAGAUCCCAUACUCUCUCUAGAUUGCUACACCUCAAUAGUGCAUCAACUAGAGAACGUCUCUGCAAAAUUAUACCAAUAGAAUCAAAUAGGACCAUAUAGGCUUCAAAAGGAAAUGCAGAAAACGAGAGUCAAAGCUUCACCUGCUUGGUUCCAGGGGGAAAACCAUAGACAAUUAUCCUCAUAUCUUUGCCUGCAAAAUGCACAUGAUUCACAAGAAUAGUUUCAAAACUAACAUAAAGAAGGUAUCAGAUAACAAAAUCUCUCAACCAGUAUUAGUAUAGUGGUAUAUUGGUUAAGAAACAACAGAGGAGAAAGAAAGAGAGCAAAAUAUCAGAGUGAAUUUUAAUAUAAGGCGUAUAAACCUGAUAAAACAAGACUACUGGAAUCAGUUUUAGCAAAUGAUAACACACGGAAACAUACCAGUGACCUGUAAAAGACGUUUUGGUGGAUUCUUGGUGGACUGAUGUCUGUUUGAUUGAACUUUCUGCACCUACAUACAACACCCAACGACACAAAACAAACAAAUUAAAGCCCAAUUUCACUAAGAUUAAACUCAAAACAUACUAAUAACUAAAAACAGACCGUUUUGUUAAACUUCUCGAUAGCCACCAGUGGAAUUGUACCAAGUGGAACAGGAUCUCUGGUUCCUUCCCUCUUCACAAAGAGAAAAAAAGGAUUGAUGUGAUGCACCAUUUUAAAACAUUACAAGACACAAAGAAGAAAGACAGAAAGACAAGCCAUACCAAAAACAGAAUACGGAAAUUUGUGAGUAAGAGGGUCCCUGCUUCAUUGGUGUUGAUGAGUAUAACUCCACAACACUGUAAUCAACAGCCAUAACAAGAAUAUAAAUAAUUUUUUCAACAAACACACACACAAAGACUCUCUGCAAUACAAUAAUCUUAUAUAAACCGCCUAACUACCUCGAAGGUGAUCCUCUCAGAAUCCAGCAAGCAAUCCAAGUUUGAGUACGAGCUUGACCAAGAAGCUUGCUGAAAAGAGAAAAUAAUAAUUAAACAUUAGGCGUCAAUCGAUUAGCCCUAAUCAAUAUCCAAAUAAACAAGAUGAGCAACAUGAUUGAAAAAGUUAAAGAGAGGAAUACAUCGAGUUUGGUCCAUUCAAGCACGUCCCAGCUUCCGGUACCUUCCAUCUUCUCCGACGAAUAUCGCAGCGAUCGUAAUCGCCUAGAGGAGUUUCUCGGCGCCGUCAUCUAAACGGUGACGAGGCUCGCCUUUCUCUUUCUCUGCCUCUUAACGGUGGGAAACGACGGAUUUCGCACGCUGCCUUUUCGCUACGGAGACAAUGAGACUCUCGAAUACGGCGUAGUUUCUUCCGUACGGCCAACGCUUUGCGUUUUAGACUUGUUUUUGUUUGUUUGAUUAAUAAUGGGCUUUCUUACCUAUUUUAAACAUAUUUUGUUGAUAAAAAGUAAUGGAAAAUUUGAGUGUAGUUUUGGAUAAUUAAAAUUUCAGCAAGAAAAAAAUUGGAUAAUGAACUGAAGAAUUCUUAUUUGAACUCAAUUUAUGUACUCUCUGUACAAAAAAAUAAUAAUAACAAUGUUUUAAUUAUAAAUUAGAUAUAUAUAUAUAUAUAUAUAUAUAUAAUUUUAAAAAUCGUAUUAUAAUAUCUCAAAAUGAAUUUCAAAACUGAAUUUGUAUUUGUAUGUGUGUGAUGAACCAUUUGUAUAUUUAUGAUCGUAUAAAGCAAACACCAUACGCAUUCGUAUUGUAUGCAAUAUACAAGAAUAUUAAUGGUGUAACCGUAUACGUAACUGAAUUUUGAGAUUUGCGACUUAUGAAUUGGUUUCCAUGAAGAACCCACACCAGUGACAUCACCAUACGAAUAAACUCUGACCGAGAGAACAACAAGCACGAGUUAUAAUAAUACAGACAUAACUUGAACAACUCGGAACUUAAAAUCCCCAAAUCAAGGAUUCUUCUGUAUCAUCACCACUGGAUUUUACAAUAAUCAAAAACAACCUUGGCACAUACGUAUAUGCAGCAGUAGUAUGUAUCAUCUCAACCACAAUAAAAUCUCGUAGAAACAAUAUACAAUGCAUCAUCACAUCCUACUACAAGUCAGAAUAGUAAAGGAGAUAAAGAGAAAAGAGACGCUCACAUCAUAAUACCUCUCGUGGUAAUCUAGCAACGUAACAGCUUUUCGUCCUCGGGUUUGGUCCAAGCUGCACGGUUUGGUUGAGUUCCAAUGCCAGUUUAGGUAAAAAAUAUAGUCUAGGAGAGCUUCAGUAGUUAUCCGUGUCUAAACAUUUCUCAAGUGUUUGACUACUAGUACACUCUUGAAGAGCCUUGGCGUUAAGCUCUCUGCCAUAUCUCCAGACAUAGUUGAGCCCGACAAGAAGCUCCGUGAUGAUGGUUUCUGUUUUCUGCUGGUUCGCAAAGAAGAGAGUCUGCGCGAGAACUAUGUGCGUCCUCGAAACCAAGCUCUGGUUCUCGUAACUCCUCUCGGACUGCCAUUUUAUCAUGUUGUGAGCUAACGGACCCAACCAUUCCAAGAUACCCGCCAUUGCGUCUGUCCACUCCUUCGCUAGCCCCGGAUCAUAAACCGCGGAAGAGCUCAAGUUUUUCGAGUACGGCUUUAGCCUCUCUCUCAACGAUUUUCUCACGCUCGCUGGUAACAUGUUGUAAAGGUCGUCUCUCGCAUCGUCGCCUAUCAAGUGGGGAGAUGCAACGAAUCUCUCUAUCACGAUGAUGACAUUAGCGUAGUGUAACGCUAAGCAAGCGGCGCCGAGGGUGUUAGGAGCAGCAUCUGACAACUUGGGUCUUUCAACGUGGACAGUGUUGGAACUUCCUUGGAGAAUCUGAUGAUGCUCUGCGCUACUAUGCCUAGCUCCGUUCUGGGUCCUAGUGCUGAGAGGAGUGAUACCGUCUUGAGACACCAUGCAGCCUUUAAAGGGACCAACCUGUGUUAAACGGUUGGGUUUUGACUGCUUUUUCGCUGAGGAGACCGAAGGCCUUUCCGGUGUCUGCACCACCGUCUUCUUGUUGUGUUUGCCCAUUCCCAUAAGCGGUCCUGAUUUGGAUGUGAACUUCCCGAGAGGACCCGAGUAAAACUUGAAACGUUUGUUCUUUUCUGGGGCAAGAGGACCUGACUUAGGGGACUGGGUAGUGAGUGAGCCCGAGAGGAAAUCACCCAUCUUCGUGGACUUUGUAGCAGCUGAGCCUGACGCUGGACCUGUGAAUCUCCCAAGAGGACCAGAAGCAAAUCUAGGAGGACGGGUGGUCUCGGACUGAUGCGUCAAAACAGUGGAAACAGAGUGGCCGCGAGCGAUGAAAUCAGAAUCCGCAGAGCUAACAUCGCUAGCCUCUGCUCUGUAACUAAUGCCGAAAACAUGUUUAGUCCUAGUCAAGAUUGUGAAGAUCGAUCUCACCAAGAGAAGGACGGUGUAGUCAUAAGUACGGUUCCAAAGAGACACCUCCCUUAGAUUCUUCACUUCAUGUUUCUUCCACGUGACUUUUUUCUUGUACUCCACUAUAUUAUCGGUUGCAGAUUCAUUGCUCUGCCUUCUCUUGAGACUCUGCUCAAGCUCCGUCAGAAUCUCAGUGCUGCCUUUUCGCUACGGAGACAAUGAGACUCUCGAAUACGGCGUAGUUUCUUCCGUACGGCCAACGCUUUGCGUUUUAGACUUGUUUUUGUUUGUUUGAUUAAUAAUGGGCUUUCUUACCUAUUUUAAACAUAUUUUGUUGAUAAAAAGUAAUGGAAAAUUUGAGUGUAGUUUUGGAUAAUUAAAAUUUCAGCAAGAAAAAAAUUGGAUAAUGAACUGAAGAAUUCUUAUUUGAACUCAAUUUAUGUACUCUCUGUACAAAAAAAUAAUAAUAACAAUGUUUUAAUUAUAAAUUAGAUAUAUAUAUAUAUAUAUAUAUAUAUAAUUUUAAAAAUCGUAUUAUAAUAUCUCAAAAUGAAUUUCAAAACUGAAUUUGUAUUUGUAUGUGUGUGAUGAACCAUUUGUAUAUUUAUGAUCGUAUAAAGCAAACACCAUACGCAUUCGUAUUGUAUGCAAUAUACAAGAAUAUUAAUGGUGUAACCGUAUACGUAACUGAAUUUUGAGAUUUGCGACUUAUGAAUUGGUUUCCAUGAAGAACCCACACCAGUGACAUCACCAUACGAAUAAACUCUGACCGAGAGAACAACAAGCACGAGUUAUAAUAAUACAGACAUAACUUGAACAACUCGGAACUUAAAAUCCCCAAAUCAAGGAUUCUUCUGUAUCAUCACCACUGGAUUUUACAAUAAUCAAAAACAACCUUGGCACAUACGUAUAUGCAGCAGUAGUAUGUAUCAUCUCAACCACAAUAAAAUCUCGUAGAAACAAUAUACAAUGCAUCAUCACAUCCUACUACAAGUCAGAAUAGUAAAGGAGAUAAAGAGAAAAGAGACGCUCACAUCAUAAUACCUCUCGUGGUAAUCUAGCAACGUAACAGCUUUUCGUCCUCGGGUUUGGUCCAAGCUGCACGGUUUGGUUGAGUUCCAAUGCCAGUUUAGGUAAAAAAUAUAGUCUAGGAGAGCUUCAGUAGUUAUCCGUGUCUAAACAUUUCUCAAGUGUUUGACUACUAGUACACUCUUGAAGAGCCUUGGCGUUAAGCUCUCUGCCAUAUCUCCAGACAUAGUUGAGCCCGACAAGAAGCUCCGUGAUGAUGGUUUCUGUUUUCUGCUGGUUCGCAAAGAAGAGAGUCUGCGCGAGAACUAUGUGCGUCCUCGAAACCAAGCUCUGGUUCUCGUAACUCCUCUCGGACUGCCAUUUUAUCAUGUUGUGAGCUAACGGACCCAACCAUUCCAAGAUACCCGCCAUUGCGUCUGUCCACUCCUUCGCUAGCCCCGGAUCAUAAACCGCGGAAGAGCUCAAGUUUUUCGAGUACGGCUUUAGCCUCUCUCUCAACGAUUUUCUCACGCUCGCUGGUAACAUGUUGUAAAGGUCGUCUCUCGCAUCGUCGCCUAUCAAGUGGGGAGAUGCAACGAAUCUCUCUAUCACGAUGAUGACAUUAGCGUAGUGUAACGCUAAGCAAGCGGCGCCGAGGGUGUUAGGAGCAGCAUCUGACAACUUGGGUCUUUCAACGUGGACAGUGUUGGAACUUCCUUCGAGAAUCUGAUGAUGCUCUGCGCUACUAUGCCUAGCUCCGUUCUGGGUCCUAGUGCUGAGAGGAGUGAUACCGUCUUGAGACACCAUGCAGCCUUUAAAGGGACCAACCUGUGUUAAACGGUUGGGUUUCGACUGCUUUUUCGCUGAGGAGACCGAAGGCCUUUCCGGUGUCUGCACCACCGUCUUCUUGUUGUGUUUGCCCAUUCCCAUAAGCGGUCCUGAUUUGGAGGUGAACUUCCCGAGAGGACCCGAGUAAAACUUGAAACGUUUGUUCUUUUCUGGGGCAAGAGGACCUGACUUAGGGGACUGGGUAGUGAGUGAGCCCGAGAGGAAAUCACCCAUCUUCGUGGACUUUGUAGCAGCUGAGCCUGACGCUGGACCUGUGAAUCUCCCAAGAGGACCAGAAGCAAAUCUAGGAGGACGGGUGGUCUCGGACUGAUGCGUCAAAACAGUGGAAACAGAGUGGCCGCGAGCGAUGAAAUCAGAAUCCGCAGAGCUAACAUCGCUAGCCUCUGCUCUGUAACUAAUGCCGAAAACAUGUUUAGUCCUAGUCAAGAUUGUGAAGAUCGAUCUCACCAAGAGAAGGACGGUGUAGUCAUAAGUACGGUUCCAAAGAGACACCUCCCUUAGAUUCUUCACUUCAUGUUUCUUCCACGUGACUUUUUUCUUGUACUCCACUAUAUUAUCGGUUGCAGAUUCAUUGCUCUGCCUUCUCUUGAGACUCUGCUCAAGCUCCGUCAGAAUCUCAGUCUCCUGGUAAAGACUAGCAUUAGACGAGAUAAAACGCUCCAUCCUCUUAACCUUUCUAUCCAUUUUCUUCCACCCAAACUGCCACCCAUAAGGAUCAGCUCCCGUCUUCAUCAUCUCACCGAAACAACUCUCGAAGCUCUUCAACUUGGGAUCGUUGCAUUUUACAGCGAGCCUAGCCACAGCUUUCGCUACGUUCUCAACGUUCUCCAUCAUCUCGUCGCGUAUCAGCCUCACGAUGAAGUCAUCGUCAUCUGAAACUAGCUUCUUUAUACCCGCGGAACGCGUGAUCUCUUCUCUGAGCCUCGUGACGUUCUUAUCGCUCAGGGAUUGCCAUAGAUGAACGAGUUUCGAGAGUAGACUAGCGACCUCGAAGGCUAACACUCCAAGCACAUCCUUCUCUUUAUGACCUUCGUUUUUCUUUGGGAAUUUCCAGAGGUUACGAAACCAAGUCUCUGAAACCAUCCUCUCUCUCUCUCAAGCUGAUGCGUGACAAUCAACAGUGUCUCUCCUACACAAUGAAUGAACAAUCUGUUAACCAAUACAAGUGAGGAAACGCAGAAUCAAUCAUUCACAUCAAAAGUGGAAUCAUCAAGAAAACAGCUCUUACGCACGUAAUAUGAAUCGAUUCUGCUGAAAGUGGGAGAAAUCUAGCUACAGAGCUAACGUUACGUAGAAUCGCCAAUCCUACCAACUCUCUCUCUCUCUCAAACUGCUGCGUUAUAAUCAACAGUGUCUCCUACACAAUGAAUGAACAAGAUCAGGAACAAUCUGUUAGCCAUUGAAACGCAUAAUCAAUCAUUCACACAAGUAAUUCACAUCAAAAACUCGAAAUCUCUAAGCUGAAAUCAUCAAGAAAACACCUCUUACGCAAGCAAUAGGAAUCGGAUUUGGCUGAAAUUGGAUUGAAAUCUAUGCUACAGAGCUCAAGUUACGCAGAAUCACCAAUCCUACCAUCCUCUCUCAAUACAAUCAACAGUGUCUCCUACACAACGAAUGAACAAUCUGUUAACCAAUGAAACGCAUAAUCAAUCAUUCACACAAGCGAUUCACAUCCAAAAACUGAAAUCUCGAGCUGAAAUCAGCUCUUACGCACGUAAAUAUGAAUCGAUUUAGCUGAAAUUAGGCGAAAACCUAAGCUACAGAGCUCGAGUUACGCAGAAUCGCCAAAUCAAAAUCACGAACAACCCGUUAACCAAUACGACUGAGGAAACGCAGAAUCAAUCAUUCACACAAACGAUUCACAUCAAAAAACUCGAAAUCUCGAGGUGGAAUCAUCAAGAAAACAGCUCUUACGCAAGCAAUAUGAAUCGAUUUAGCUGAGAUUGGAUGAAAUCAAGCUACUACGCAGAAUCGCCAAAUCCUACCAAAUCGAGUUUCUAAAUAAAUUCUCCAGCUGGAGUAUGUAAACACGGCCUCGCGAAAUCACUAUUCGAAUUGGAAUUGUCGGCGAAUCGAGAAACAGAUAUGGAAACAGAAGAGGCGUCUGCAAACGAGGAAGCGCGUAAGAGCGCGAGAGGAGAAGAAGAAAGCUUACCGAUUUUGGCACAUACGUAUAUGCAGCAGUAGUAUGUAUCAUCUCAACCACAAUAAAAUCUCGUAGAAACAAUAUACAAUGCAUCAUCACAUCCUACUACAAGUCAGAAUAGUAAAGGAGAUAAAGAGAAAAGAGACGCUCACAUCAUAAUACCUCUCGUGGUAAUCUAGCAACGUAACAGCUUUUCGUCCUCGGGUUUGGUCCAAGCUGCACGGUUUGGUUGAGUUCCAAUGCCAGUUUAGGUAAAAAAUAUAGUCUAGGAGAGCUUCAGUAGUUAUCCGUGUCUAAACAUUUCUCAAGUGUUUGACUACUAGUACACUCUUGAAGAGCCUUGGCGUUAAGCUCUCUGCCAUAUCUCCAGACAUAGUUGAGCCCGACAAGAAGCUCCGUGAUGAUGGUUUCUGUUUUCUGCUGGUUCGCAAAGAAGAGAGUCUGCGCGAGAACUAUGUGCGUCCUCGAAACCAAGCUCUGGUUCUCGUAACUCCUCUCGGACUGCCAUUUUAUCAUGUUGUGAGCUAACGGACCCAACCAUUCCAAGAUACCCGCCAUUGCGUCUGUCCACUCCUUCGCUAGCCCCGGAUCAUAAACCGCGGAAGAGCUCAAGUUUUUCGAGUACGGCUUUAGCCUCUCUCUCAACGAUUUUCUCACGCUCGCUGGUAACAUGUUGUAAAGGUCGUCUCUCGCAUCGUCGCCUAUCAAGUGGGGAGAUGCAACGAAUCUCUCUAUCACGAUGAUGACAUUAGCGUAGUGUAACGCUAAGCAAGCGGCGCCGAGGGUGUUAGGAGCAGCAUCUGACAACUUGGGUCUUUCAACGUGGACAGUGUUGGAACUUCCUUCGAGAAUCUGAUGAUGCUCUGCGCUACUAUGCCUAGCUCCGUUCUGGGUCCUAGUGCUGAGAGGAGUGAUACCGUCUUGAGACACCAUGCAGCCUUUAAAGGGACCAACCUGUGUUAAACGGUUGGGUUUUGACUGCUUUUUCGCUGAGGAGACCGAAGGCCUUUCCGGUGUCUGCACCACCGUCUUCUUGUUGUGUUUGCCCAUUCCCAUAAGCGGUCCUGACUUGGAUGUGAACUUCCCGAGAGGACCCGAGUAAAACUUGAAACGUUUGUUCUUUUCUGGGGCAAGAGGACCUGACUUAGGGGAC
rnacentral:lncRNA from 1 species